rnacentral:rRNA from 1 species
GGGGCUAGCGUUGCUCGGAAUCACUGGGCGUAAAGCGCACGUAGGCGGAUUGUUAAGUCAGGGGUGAAAUCCUGGAGCUCAACUCCAGAACUGCCUUUGAUACUGGCGAUCUCGAGUCCGGGAGAGGUGAGUGGAACUGCGAGUGUAGAGGUGAAAUUCGUAGAUAUUCGCAAGAACACCAGUGGCGAAGGCGGCUCACUGGCCCGGUACUGACGCUGAGGUGCGAAAGCGUGGGGAGCAAAUAGG